UACGUAGGGUGCAAGCGUUGUCCGGAAUUAUUGGGCGUAAAGAGCUCGUAGGCGGUUUGUUGCGUCGGCUGUGAAAUCCCGAGGCUCAACCUCGGGUCUGCAGUCGAUACGAGCAAACUAGAGUGUUGCAGGGGAGACUGGAAUUCCUGGUGUAGCGGUGAAAUGCGCAGAUAUCAGGAGGAACACCGGUGGCGACGGCGGGUCUCUGGGCAACAACUGACGCUGAGGAGCGAAAGCGUGGGGAGCGAACAGG
rnacentral:rRNA from 1 species